GUCGAGGCCGCCGGGGUCCCUCCUGAGCGGGGCUCCUGGACAGGGCGGUCUGGCCGGUGGUUCUGUUGGUGCCUGGUCAGCCCUUGCUAGGCCUUGGGCACAACUGAACUAACACCAAAAGCCAUGCGGGGCGGGUGGACUCAGGGGGCGUGGAGGAAUGCCCGCAGAUCUGCCGACCAUACCCGCGACGAGCAACCUGAGUUUGUAAGUGUCGGAGGUACGGAAGGAAGAAAAGAAAGAGGUCACGAUGGUGGAUCAGUUAGUGUCGUUUCUGUAUGGGGAGGGCAGCGGUAUUAACGGUAGGACAAAAUUCUUAACGUUCCCUUCCCUGCCGUAACGUUCCAUUUAUGUGCUUAUUUUGGUAGCAUUUGUUGCAGUUAUGUUUGAAGAUCUCUAGACUUGGGAUGGAGAAUGUGUGUCCAGCAGGGAUAAUGCCUGACUCCUCGAUGAUGGGGGAGGAAACAUACAUUUUGAGAGAAAGGCACUUGGAGAUUCAGUGAGGUUUUGUUUUCUCCUUCCCUUCUUUUAUAUGUGGAGAAUGUUUCUGGUGGUCUAGCCUCAGAAAUUGCAUCUCCAGUCUCCUCCAGGUCUCAGACUCCUACGUGGAUAAGAGCGAUUUACUGAGGAAAUGGUAAUUCUACAGUUGAUCCCUGAGGUGUCAAGUGUCCAGUUGCAGCCCAUGGAGAGCCAGUUCAAUUAUGAAUCUCGAGACCACCACCUUCUGUCAGAUUUUUCAAGGUUUGAUACAAGAGAAGACGAACGACAAGAAGAAAACAUGUUCUUAGCUCGAGCGUCUCUACUCAGGUUCCUCGAUGGUGCAAACGAUACUUACCUACUGUCAUGGAUUGAAUUGUGUCCCCCCAAAAUAUCGGUCAACUUGGCUAGGUCAUGAUUCCCAGUAUUGUGUGACUAUCCACCAUUUUGUCAUCUGAUGUGAUUUUCCUGUGUUGUAAAUCGUGUCUCUAUGAUGUUAAUGAAAUGGGAUUAGCAGCAGUUAUGUUGAUGAAGCAGGACUCUAUAAGAUUUGGUUGUGUCUUAAACCAAUCUCUUUUGAGAUAUAAAAGAGAGAAGUGAGCAGAGAGACUGGGGGACUUCACACCACCAACAAACAAGAGCUAGGGGAAGAGCAUGUCCUUUGGACCCAGGGUCAUGCACUGAGAAGCUCCUAGAUCAGGGAAAGAUUGACGAAAAGGACCUUUCUCCAGAGUCAACAGAGAACCUUCUGCUGGGGCUAGCACCUGGAACUGGAACUCCUAGCCUCCUAGACUGUGAGAGAAUUUCUCUUUGUUAAAGCCUUCCACUUGAGCUUUUUCUGCUAUAGCAGCACUAGAUGACUAAGACAACUACUAAAGGUUGGCGGUUUGAACCCACUCAGCAAUGCCUCAGAAGAAAGGCCUGGUGAUCUGCUUCCAUAAAGAUUAAAAAAAAAUAAAUAAAGAUUAGAGCCUAGAAUACCCAGGAAGCUCAGUUUUACUCUGUAACACAUGGGAAGGCCAAGUUGGAAUUGAGUUGAUGGCAAUGAGUUUUAUGCUUCAAACACUUUUCCACUCCAAGACCUGUUAAAUAUUUAUACCUGUUUUUGUAUUUUUACAUGGAAGUCACUAACACUUCUGUCAUGUAUUUGGUGUGUGAAGUGAGGGCAAGACACACCAGUCCUUGUCCUACCUUCUGUAAGACUGGGGCCUGCUCCCUGCU